GGGGGGGGGGGGGGGGGGGGGGGGGGGGGGGAGGGCGGGGGGGGGGAGGGGGCGGGGUGCGGGGGGCAGCGGCGGGCGGGUGGGGAAGGGCUGGGGAGGUGCCUGGUAGGGGGGGAUGACGUCCGGCAACGGGGGCUAAUACCGCAUAGGGCCUGGGGGAGAAAGUGGGGGGUCUGCGGACCUCACGCUCUCGGGUGAGCCUAGGUCGGAUUAGCUAGGUGGUGGGGUAAAGGCCUAUCAAGGAGACGAUACGGAACUGGUCUGAGAGGAUGAUCAGUCACACUGGAACUGAGACACGGUCCAGACUCCUACGGGAGGCAGCAGUGGGGAAUAUUGGACAAUGGGCGAAAGCCUGAUCCAGCCAUGCCGCGUGUGUGAAGAAGGUCUUCGGAUUGUAAAGCACUUUAAGUUGGGAGGAAGGGCAGUAAGUUAAUACCUUGCUGUUUUGACGUUACCAACAGAAUAAGCACCGGCUAACUUCGUG
rnacentral:rRNA from 1 species